UACGGAGGGGGCUAGCGUUGUUCGGAAUUACUGGGCGUAAAGCGCACGUAGGCGGCUUUGCAAGUCAGAGGUGAAAGCCCGGGGCUCAACUUCGGAAUUGCCUUUAAGACUGCAUCGCUAGAAUUGUGGAGAGGUAAGUGGAAUUCCGAGUGUAGAGGUGAAAUUCGUAGAUAUUCGGAAGAACACCAGUGGCGAAGGCGACUUACUGGACACAUAUUGACGCUGAGGUGCGAAAGCGUGGGGAGCAAACGGG
rnacentral:rRNA from 1 species